rnacentral:lncRNA from 1 species
UGCAAUUGCCUUGGCAAAGGAAUCCAGAUUUCACAAAAACCAAACACAUCAAGAGACGCUUCAACUCCAUCCGGGAUCUAGUCCAGGUGGGAGACAUAGAGAUUUGCAAGAUACAUACGGAUCUGAAUGUUGUAGACCCGUUGACUAAGCCUCUUCCACGAGCAAAACAUGAUCAGCACCAAAGCUCCAUGGGUGUUAGAUUCAUUACAGUGUAAUCUAGAUUAUUGACUCUAGUGCAAGUGGGAGACUGAAGGAAAUAUGCCCUAGAGGCAAUAAUAAAGUUAUUAUUUAUUUCCUUAUAAUCAUGAUAAAUGUUUAUUAUUCAUGCUAGAAUUGUAUUUACCAGAAACAUAAUACAUGUGUGAAUACAUAGACAAACAGAGUGUCACUAGUAUGCCUCUACUUGACUAUCUCGUUAAUCAAAGAUGGUUAUGUUUCCUAACCAUGAACAAUGAGUUGUUAUUUGAUUAACGAGGUCACAUCAUUAGUAGAAUGAUCUGAUUGACAUGACCCAUUCCAUUAGCUUAGCACCCGAUCGUUUAGUAUGUUGCUAUUGCUUUCUUCAUGACUUAUACAUGUUCCUAUGACUAUGAGAUUAUGCAACUCCCGUUUACCGGAGGAACACUUUGGGUACUACCAAACGUCACAACGUAACUGGGUGAUUAUAAAGGAGUACUACAGGUGUCUCCAAUGGUCGAUGUUGGGUUGGCGUAUUUCGAGAUUAGGAUUUGUCACUCCGAUUGUCGGAGAGGUAUCUCUGGGCCGUCUCGGUAAUACACAUCACAUAAGCCUUGCAAGCAUUACAACUAAUAUGUUAGUUGUGAGAUGAUGUAUUACGGAACGAGUAAAGAGACUUGCCAGUAACGAGAUUGAACUAGGUAUUGGAUACCGACGAUCGAAUCUCGGGCAAGUAACAUACCGAUGACAAAGGGAACAACGUAUGUUGUUAUGCGGUCUGACCGAUAAAUAUCUUCGUAGAAGAUGUAGGAGCCAAUAUGGGCAUCCAGGUCCCGCUAUUGGUUAUUGACCAGAGACGUGUCUCGGUCAUGUCUACAUUGUUCUCGAACCCGUAGGGUCCGCACGCUUAAGGUUACGAUGACAGUUAUAUUAUGAGUUUAUGCAUACCGAAGGUUGUUCGGAGUCCCGGAUGUGAUCACGGACAUGACGAGGAGUCUCGAAAUGGUCGAGACGUAAAGAUUGAUAUAUUGGAAGCCUAUAUUUGGAUAUCGGAAGUGUUCCGGGUGAAAUCGGGAUUUUACCGGAAUACCGGGAGGGUUACCGGAACCCCCCGGGAGCUAUUUGGGCCAUAGUGGGCCUUAGUGGAAAAGAGAAGGGGCUGCCCUAGAUGGGCUGCGUGCCCCCCCUUCCCCUAGUCCUAUUAGGACUAGGAGAGGUGGUCGGCCCCCUCCUCCUCUUUUCCCCUCCGAGGAAUCCUAAUUGGACUAGGAUUGGAGGGGGAAUCCUACUCCCAGUGGGAGUAGGACUCUCCUGCGCCUCCCCCCCUUGGCCGGCCAGCCUCCCCUCCUCUCCUCCUUUAUAUACGGAGGCAGGGGCACCUCUAAACACACAAGUUGACACAAGUUGAUCCACGUGAUCGAUUCCUUAGCCGUGUGCGGUGCCCCCUGCCACCAUAUUCCUCGAUAAUACUGUAGCGGAGUUUAGGCGAAGCCCUGCUGCUGUAGUUCAUCAAGACCGUCACCACGCCGUCGUGCUGACGAAACUCUUCUCCGACACUUUGCUGGAUCGGAGUCCGGGGAUCGUCAUCGAGCUGAAUGUGUGCUCGAACUCGGAGGUGCCGUAGUUUCGGUGCUUGAUCGGUUGGAUCGUGAAGACGUACGACUACUUCCUCUACGUCGUGUCAUCGCUUCCGCAGUCGGUCUGCGUUGGGUACGUAGACAACACUCUCCUCUCGUUGCUAUGCAUCACAUGAUCCUGUGUGCGCGUAGGAAAUUUUUUGAAAUUACUACGAAACCCAACACAAGGGUCGGGGUCAAAGCCACAGAUACAUAUCUCACCAAAGUGGCGUAUCACUGUGGAGGUUGUCGGGGUGGGUUUUGGUAGCUGUGCCCGGAAAAAUAUGCAACUGCGUGCUGACAUAACUAUGCAAGGUUACUACUAAAACAGAGGCACAACAACAGGCUGCGUUAAUUUACAAGGUCACACGAUUACAAUGCGAGGAUACACUGAGACUCGGUACUAUUCAAGUGAUUCAGUCUACCUCGUUAAUAUCCAAGCGGGCUUGCCUUGUGGAUGUCGAGGCUUCUCCACGGGUCUCACCGUCGGGAUUAGCUGGAGGUGGUUGAGGGGCUGCAGGGUCGGGGUAGCGAUGAUGACUAUCGCAGGGAUUGUUGGCCACAAUCCCGUUGGAGUGUGCUCCCAAAAGGCGACGAAGCACUUCUGGGGUCAUCAAAGUAUCUUGGUUGAUGGCUGGGGCUGAUCUCAAGGUCUCGAUUGGUUGUCCGAACAGCACGACUGGGUUGUCGGCGUCGGGCUCAUGUUCUCUUCUCGCCGGGGCUCGACGAACUAGCUCUCCACGAGCUGUGAUCAGAUCAAUGGUGAUUUGAUCGAACAGUUCCUCCAGUGCACCUACAUAGCGCACUAGGUGCAAUAGUGCAAGAUCCGUCUUGUGAUCUCCGUUGGCAAUCUGGGGUGGUCUACCAUACCCUUCGCGUCUGGGGUAGUAGUAGAAUGAGUGACAGUUAACUCUGGGCGACAACUGCCGGAGUUGAACUAUAGCCUCUCGAGCAGCUAGCUGGAUGGCUUGUGGCUUGAAGGAAGUUGUCCUUCCGGUGAACCUGUAGGGACGUUCUGGCGAUAGACCCCUUCCAUAGAUGUGCACAGUGGCCCAGAAUUGACGGCUCUCACCUCUCAUGGAUCCUUGGUACACAACAUAUUCUAGGGGCUCUUCUAACGCAUAGGCACGAUGGGUGAGGUUUGCGAGUAUGGUCACAAAACCUCCAAGGUUGGUUGCUGUGGUUUCAUUGUGCACGACGGGGCCAGGCAUUAUGGCUCGGUUUGGGGAAGAGGUUGUGCUGUGCUGGGUUGAGGCUAGCGUGCCCUUUUUAUAGAAAAGGGAACGAAGUCUUCCUUCACACGCUUGCGGAUGGGACAUAAUAGGCAUCGGUCACUGAUGCGUGAUCGACAGGCUAGGUUGAUAGGUUGGGCACCGACUGCAAAAAGUAUCGGGGUCACUGUGUGGCUAUCUUGCACGAGAAGCUUGGCUGGGUUUUGGUUAAGGUCUGGUGGUUUGGCCUACCUAGGUUUUUUGACCUGGCUAAGAUAGGAUUAGCCAGUGGUCAGCGUGACUCUGAUACCAAGUUUGUGACGACCGGUUUUCCGGGUAUUAAUUUCCCAGAAAAUGGCCUUUGUGCUCACCAGCCCCAGGAUUACUGUUAGCUGAUGAGGCACCAACUUGUUACAGAAACUCCAAGCAAAAAUACAUAAUAUGUAGUACAAGACCAUUCUGGCCUAUGAGUACGACAUAAGGUUGCUAGUGGUUGAUGGUGGAAGCGGUUUGUGGAUCAUCAGCGUCUAUGGGACUCCAUUUCCCACAGGAACAGCUGACUAGGUUAACUCCUAUCUUCACGGGGCUACUAUCACCGUUGCGUAGGUUCCGGGGCUGUCAUCACGGGCGCUCCUCUCCGCGCAAGAAAUCUGGCCAAGACAAUAGCCAGGGACAAGCCAGUGAGUACUUUGAAUGUACUCGCAAACAUUAUGAACACGGGUAUAAUAUAUCAAAUCAUACUCUAAAAUAUUCUAUGAAUCACAACGUCAGACAUAAACAUAAAAUCCUGGAUGCAUGCAAGCAGGUUAUUUAUAUGCAACAUGAAUAUGUAAUAGCAGAGUAGUAAUAAAAUGCACCGGUCGGGUAUCUGAAGCGACGCCUCGAAAGGAUACUAAAUAAUAAGCAUGCCUCAGUCGGGCGUCUGAGCGACACAACAUAAAGGGCUUAUAAAGAAAAUAAAUAACAGCAUGCCACAGUCGGGUGUCUGAGCGACACCACAUAAAGGGCUUAUAAAGUAAAUAAAUAACAACAUGCCACAGUAGGGCGUCUGAGNNNNNNNNNNNNNNNNNNNNNNNNNNNNNNNNNNNNNNNNNNNNNNNNNNNNNNNNNNNNNNNNNNNNNNNNNNNNNNNNNNNNNNNNGCGUCUGAGCGACACCACAUAAAGGGCUUAUAAAAUAAAUAAAUAACAGCAUGCCACAGUCGGGCGUCUGAGCGACACCACAUAAAGGGCUUAUAAAGUAAAUAAAUAACAGCAUGCCACAGUCGGGUGUCUGAGCGACACCACAUAAAGGGCUUAUAAAGUAAACAAUCAUAGUGAAUAUCCAGGAGGUAAAACUGUCCCAGGGAUACUCAAUACUUCAAAUAAUAUAAAGGGGUUAGUCCAUAAUAAUAAUAAUCAUAAUCAUCAUAAGUCACUAGUCACGAUCCAUGUUCUGGUUUAGCAGUUUUCUCCUCCGAAGACCGACACUAAGACCAACCCUUGACCCAUCCCAGACUAUAAUCCUUAACCAAGGACACGGCUAUUCGAAUAGGUUUAAUCUCUGCAGAGGGUGUACUCUUUACCCACGAGUAACGGAUUCCUUUAGUCCAUCGGGACUAAUUCCGUCUACGGCCUUUUAGUUGAAAACACACCUAACUUGCACACACCAGGUUAACUUACUGGUGUCUGGAAUCACCCACGACGCCUGUCAAGGAAAACUCUAAGUGGGGAGGCUACAACCUCGCGUAGCAUGGGAUCAAGUUUAUAUCGCGCGCUCUAAGGGGUGGCCUCCCCUCUCGGUCUCAACCGGAAACACCCAUGCCCCCGGACCAGGUGGCCUCCCUACCAGCUACAACCGGUAUCUUCCACCAUGGCCUCUCUGUACAGUGUGUGCUAGAAAGGGGUUGACGACUUAUUGAACCGUACCCUACUUGUUGUAGAGACAAGUGGUAGUACGAAACAAGUAUGAGGGUUACUGGAACAAGACUCGAUCUAUGGUCGACUCAGGAGGUUUUAAGUAUUCCCUGCAUGAUUAGCAUAACGAAUAUAUUUCAUCCAACAGACAGAAUCGCCACUCAUCAUACCCCUCAUGCCAUGCCGGACACACUCGACUCGACGAGGAACUAGGGACAAGCUCGGGUCUACCCAAGACAGAGACUUUCCCGUUUUCUUUCCGGUAGGCACGAAAGGCAUACGAGGAUGAUCAUUAUCACAAGCAUGUCCAUUUCCAACAGCAAGGAAAUCUCCAAUAAGCAUUCAUGCAAAUGAUCAUAUCACCACAUAAAAUAACGAGUUCUUCGUAUUGAGGUGGUGUCAUAAUCGUGUCAAACAAUGCAUGCAAAAUAUUAUUCCAGGGUUCAGAAUGCUUGCCUUCAAGGUGUGGAAAGGCAGGGUGCACUCCAAAACUUUUUGAAAGUUUGCUUCUCUCUCUCCAAGGUCUCCAGCGUGGACGGCGCGUGAGUUACUGACAGUGGGCCCGCCUGGCCCACUGGUCAGGUUUGACUGGUCUUUCCUCCCUCCUCUUCCUCUGCCCGAACGGAGGCGGGACCCCGGCGAUGCUCGCCGGUGAACGGCGGCACCAUUCGGGAAACCGAGGCCAUCCACGGGCUCAGGGGGUCGAGGCGGUCACUCCGGUAGUCGCUUUGGUCUCUGAGGUGGACGGAGCUGCCGGCGGCGAGCUCCGCAGCGGAUGGUGGUUGUCGGGCAGAGUGGGAUUUCUCCCGCGGCGAGUCCCGAUCAAAAUUGAGCAGGGGGGUGGACUCACGAGGGGAGAGGGAGCUCCUGGUGAAGAGAGUGGAUAGGGGGAGGCUCUGGUGGCGCCGGAAUGGCCGGGACAGUGGCGGCGGCUACGGUUGCCGGAGAUGGGGAAGAAGACCUCCCCGGGUCGAUGGGCUGCCACGGGGGAACUAGGGGAGCGUUUUGAGGCUGCCUGGGAAAUGGGACGUGCUCGGGGGCCUCUUCUAAUAAUGCAACGAGGUCGGUUUGCGGCGGUCGUGGAUAGGUUCGCCGGGGAACCGCCUCCCUGUUGUUGCGGAGUACAUGGCGGCGACGAGCGCUAGAGGACGUGCUUGUGGAUGAGGCUGAGCUGCCCCAGGGGCAGGUGGCGAGCAGGAGAGGCUCAGGCGGCGCCGACCUGGCAGAGACGCGCUGCGGACGCCGGCGUGCCGCCAAGGGGCUCUGACGGCGGUGCUGCAGGGCACCAGGGCUGCUUGGCGUGAUGCGGUGAGCAGCCCAGUGAGUGGCGCGGCUCUGCAGAGUGGGCAAAACCAGGGGCGCGACGUGGCGGCUCGGGCGCGGCACGUGCAAAACGCGUGCUCUGCUCGCGCCGAGAGCACGCACGGGACGUGCUCGACAAAAUGCCAGGGCGUGCUAGAGGUCUCGGGUGAGGUUGGGGUUCAACAGACCUAGGUUAGGAGUAACUGGGAGUUUAUUGGACAAGGUGGUUAGGCAAGGGAAGUAAGUUCAUAGUGCAAACUAAAACUCAUGCCAAAACUGGUCAUGCCCAUAAAGUUUUUGACAGAAUGCCACAUGCACCUAGGCAUUUCUUGGAGUGGUCAAAUCUUCCAGAGUGUGGUCUCUUUAGAUGAAUGAGAGGGUGGUGAGGUUAGUUUGCCAAAAGAAGAAACUUGCUAGUGCAAGUUUUGCAAAUCUUCGGAUUUGGACAGAAAGAACAGGGCAUGAUUGCAACAACUAGAAUUGCUCCAAUGAGUCCAACCUCUUGGACUUAAGGUUUUAGCAGGGAGGGCUACAAGUAGGAAAAGAAAUCACAGCAACAGGAGCAAGUCAAAAUAUAGUUGUAGUACAAUCCAUCAAGUUGGACCAGAAUGAAGAUGAGGAUGGUUCACUCAAAUCUUUCAAAGGACAUCACUGGGUUUUUGCAAAAAGUUAAUUAAUAUACUCCUGUUGACAUCCCAAAAUUUUGGUAGAAGUUUUAAAGAAAUUUUUAAAUAGGUUGUAGUGCAAAAUUGCCCACAGGACCAGAUUUGAAAACUUGGUGUAGAACUCCAAAUAUCCAAGGAAUGAAAUAUAUUUUUGCAUAAAAGUGUUUUAAAAACAUCACAUGACAUCUCCAAAUUUUGGUGGAAUUUUUGAAUGAAUUUAUCAAAGGGUUGCAGUGCAAAUGGAACCCUAAACUUAUGAAAAACCAAAUUAGAGAAAUAAAGCUCAGGGGAAAAAUGAUUAUAUAGAUAAUCCCACUAAUAAAAGAAUUGUUUUAUUUGAGAGGGCAAAUGAGUCCAAUAAAAUUGGAAAGUUUUUCACUUGAGGUAAAAACUCCAUAAAAUUAAAGGGAAGAAAGGUUCUGAAAUCAAAAGAAAAUCCAGAAAACUAAAGUUUAAGUUUCCUGGCAAAAUUUUAAUUAAUUAAAACAAGGUUAAAAUUUUGGGGUGUCACAAGUGUGAAAAAGUGUAUAUCUAUUUCUAUACCUACUAAUAAAUAAAUAAAUAAUAAUAAAUAAUAAUAAAGUAUGGAGUAUUUCUACCCAUCCGUCGUCAUAUGUUUUACAAAAGGAAACCUUUUUUUUUCUCUAAGUAACCCGCAGUCCAAUAUUACAUUUUCUUUUCCUGUUGGGCUUCGGCCCAAUUGCGGCUGCCACUAUCUCACUUGCCUGAGCGUCAGUUAGUAUUCUGCGUUCAGUCUCAGUCGGCCUAGUUGGUUCAGUUUUCUGCCCGUUAGGACCCUGGUUUUAAUUAUUCACUUCUGCUUUGGUACACCCCCUAAAAACAUCAACGGAGGAGAUCUCUUCAUACCCCUUCAUAAUAAAGGGUAGGAUGGUCUUUGUUCAAAAUACGUCAACCAGAUCUUUUUUUUAGUCACAGAUACAAGAGAUAUCCACAGUAAUGGGCCGGCCCAUCAGCUAACAACCAAUACAAAACAAAAUAUAGGAGAAAACGGGUGAGGACAGGAAUCGUACCAAGUCCUGCUAGUUGCAGCAUUAGACCUCCAACCACUAGCUCUCUGUUGCAUUGGUGAUAUGGUCGAAGGGCGCCACCAACUUAAGGCAAAAGAGCCGGUUAUCAGCUGGUUUUCCAUACUUUUUCAGUUUUCUUUUUUUCUUUUUUCCUGCACUUGUUUUUUUUCUAUUUUCUCUGGUGUUUUUUUAUUUCUCUUUUCUUUGUUUUCUACAGUUUUCUACGGUUUCCACCAGAUUUCUGUUCGUUUCUUUUUCGGCUUUGUUUGGUUCUUUCUCGUUUUUCAUAGUCAACAUUUUUCUAUACACAUUUACCUUAUUUCAAAUACUUGAUUAAUAUUUUCUAAAUACAUGGUCAAUAUAUUUUUAUAAACAUUUAACAUUUUUCACAUGCUUGAUUAAUAUUUUUAAAAUAUUUUCUACCAUAUUUUUCAAAUGCUUGUGGGCUUUUUUAAAUACAUGUUCAGCUUUACACACACAGUAUAUGUUUUUUGUAUACAUUUUUUAUAUACAUGAGAAACAUUUUCCUUAUACUUUUUUUUAGAAAAGGAGGAUGACCCCCGGCCUCUGCAUCUGGGAGAUGCAUACGGCCACUUUAUUGAUUAUUCACGAUGACCUUACAAAGUAUUACAAUAAUAUACCUGAGUAUCCACGAUAGGGUAUGUAUCUGAGUUGGUAAGUGUGUUGAGAAAAAACCUGGAGGUAUUCGGUUCGAAUCUCAGUUGGCGCGAUAUAUUUCUUAACCUAAAAAAUGGAAAAAAAAAUGUAAACGGGCCGAGCCCAGGACAAAACCUAUAAUAACCAACUCCUAUACGGAGUAUACAUACAAAAUGGAUACGAUGUGUGAAAUGUCUAUAUUAUCUUUUAUACGUUUUGUUGGACCGUUCUGACGGAUAUUUCAGUGGACACGUCAAUUAUCUCUCGCAUUGCAAUGCACGAGUAUAUGUGCUACUAGUUAAAAUAUCUCUAAAUUUACUGAGCACUCAUAUCUUUUUUACAAAGAAAGUCAUUGAUGCGCUAAGAAACGCACUACAAUAUGUUGGAGAAUAUCAACUCACCAUGGGUUCUCACCGUGAAAGCAGAGGAUACGAUUCCCUUGUUGCCCGACAGACAAUGUUGGGAGGCAAAAUCUAGUGGAUGCUGCGUCCGUCCGUGAUAUAGAUUCAGACCAUUCCAUUCCCUCCAAGAAAUCAACCUAGGGAGAGUGGAAGUUGUUGCAUCGAGGCGCUCCAAGAUGGCGGACACCGGCGGUGCCCCGCCGAUCACCGUGAAGCUCCUGGUGGACACGAGGCCGCCGCGGCCGCGCGUGGUGUUCGCGGAGGCCGGCAAGGACGCCGUCGACUUCCUCUUCUCCCUCCUCACCCUGCCGGCCGGCACGGCCGUGAGGCUGCUGGGGAAGGAGUCCAUGUCCAUGGUGGGUAGCGUCGGCAACCUCUACGCCAGCGUGGAGCGGCUCGAGGGCAGCUACCUGCGGCCCGGCUUCGCCAAGGACGCGCUCAUCCGCCCCGCCACGCAGGCCAGCCCGCUCCUCCGCCUGCCCGCGCCGCCGGCCCCGGCCCCGAGGAGCUUCUUCACCUGCGGCGCCAUCAACCACUUCAACUACCAAGGCUGCCGCGGGUACGUGUCCGACGCCAGGGGCGCCCGGUGCCCGGCCUGCGGGAACGAGAUGGCGACCGUGUCCCAGUACGUGCCGCCGCCGCCGGCCAAGCCGGAGGAGAGCGCAAACGCAGCGACGACGGGGUUCGUGCAGGGGGCCGUGACGUACACGGUGACGGACGACCUGGCCGUCGCGCCCAUGUCGGCCAUCUCCAGCAUCGCGCGGCUCGGCGCCGUCGCCGCCGUCGGGGGCCUCGGCGCGCUCCAGGAGAGGACCGUGGAGCUCGGGUACAAGGAGGGCCUGGAGAUCCUCAAGGCCUCGCUGCGGUCCAAGACUGUCCUCACAGACGUCUUCCUCGGCACCGGCGGCAAGAAGCCUCCUCCGUCGUCCAAGAACAACGGCAACGGCGGCACAAGAUACGAGUGUCUCACCUGGCGUGUUUGACGUGCGUGCAGCUUCAUAUAUGGUACUAGUACAAUCUUGCAGCGAAUAGGCCAGUGGAAGAUUGUAAAGACGGAGGGCAACAACAAAAUGGAACAAAGUUAUUAGAGGCAUACUCAUCAGGGUAUAUGCCCCAAAAUGAGUGGUAGUCUAGCAAUAAUGCUUGAUAUAUAUAUCCAGCUUGAAAUUUCUAAAAUGUUUUAAAUAGUGGUCCGAAUGGUAUGUACUGAAAUUCAUGACAUGGUGUGAAAAUAGUUUAAAAGUAGAUGAUUAACUGAAAAUCUAAAUAUUCCUGAAUGGUAUGGGAUAAUUAAAGUUGUCGUUAAAUGAGUGUGGAUUUUAUUAAAAUUCACCUACAUGUGUCUCAAACUAUUGAAAUGUGUGUUCUAGAAUGUCAUUGGGUUGUUCCAAAAAUUUGUUUUUUUAAAUACAUAUGUAAUUAUUGAAAUUGGUGUCGAUAAAAUGCCAUAAAAUUAUUUCAAAUUUCAACAUGUGUGAAAUAAUUUGAAAUGUUUGUCCAAUAUGAUCAUAAAUUGUUUGAUGUAUUUAACAUUAAUUUCAAAUAUGUGUUUCUAAAAUGGCACUAAAACAAAUGUUUUUCAAUUUUUGAAGUCACUGUUUUUGAAAAAUGAAAUUGGGAGAGCUUUGCUCCUGAACUAAAAAAAACAUUUGGUUACAACUUACAAUGCAUGUACGACGUAUUUUUGUUUGAAAUAAUGCCAAAAAUACCAAAGACGUAGAAAUGGAUUUAAAAAUAUAUUUUUUACAAAGAAGAUGUUUUCCAAACAAUUCCAAAAUACUUGAAACUGUGAAAAGGGAAAUAAUUAAAUUUCUUAACAGGUUUCAAUUAGUUUUCGAUUGGCAUGUAUUAAAAUUUGUGAUACAGUGUGAAAUAGUUUUAAACUAGAUAAUUAAUUGGCAUUUUGAAUAUUUCUAAAUGGUAUGAAAUAAUUAAAGAUUUGGUAAAUGUGGGUGGAAUAUUAUUGAAAUCUACUAAAAUAUGUAUGAAACAGUUGAAAACUGUGCAUCUGGAGUGUCACUUAAUUUUUUUUCAAAAUAUUGAAUUUAAAUAUGAAUGGACUUUUUUUUAAUUCAGUGUUUCCUGAAAUGUCAUAAAAUUAAGUCCAAAUUUAAAAUAGUGUGGCAUAGUUUGUAAUAUUUAAUGAAUGAGAUCAAAACUGUUUGAGAUACCUUGAAUUCAUUUGAAAUAUGUACAAAGGAAAGUGAAAUAUUUAUUUCUAAAAUGGCACUGAAUUUAUUUAUUUCGAAAUUAAAAAAUAUCACUGCUUUUAAAAAGAAAUUGAGCAAACAAAAACCAGCAAAAAUAGCAAGCUUUUUUGGAAACCCUGAGUUAUUUAUAUCAACUUUUUAAAAUCUUCACAUUAUUUUUCAUUUUGUUAGAAAUAUAAUUUUUUUACGAUUUUUUCAUAUGAAUAGAUUUUUUUACAAAAGGGACAAUACUUUCUAGGAUAUGUUAAUGGUAAUGGUAGCUGGCGAACUUUCGCUAUAGGCGGGACGACAAGCGAACCAUCUUUGCUGGCAGCUUAGUUGUAAAACGAGAUCAAACUUUGACAGUUUUUAAACAAAAAAUUACCUCCCCAGAGAGAAAUGUCAUGUCGUCUGAAGAAAGUGUCACUUCUUCCCUCUCCCUCUCAAAUAAAACUGCCAGGCGAACGUUUGCAAAUGCCACCCUCCCUGGCAAACGUUCGCCAGUUAUGGGCUUCCUACUUUAAAGGCUAUACACAUGGCAGCUAGAGAUUGGCCGGAGUUAUUUGAAUUUCUGACAUUUGUACAUCAUGAGAAAGAAAAUGAUUUCCUAAUCCGAAUGAAGUCACUUUGAAUAGUAUCAUAGGCAACGGUGGGACAAGAUACGAGUGUCUCGCCUGGCGUGUUUGAGCGUGAAGCCUUCCCUGUUUGACGUGCGUGCAUCGUCAUCCAUGGUACAAUCUUGGAAUUGGAGUGAAUAGACCAGUGGAAGAUUGUAAUGGAGGACAACAGCAAAAUGGAACAAACUUAUUAGUGACAUAAGUUCCCAUAUAUAUACCAUUAAAUUUCAAAAAUAUUUUAAAUAGAUUUUGAAUGGUCUGUAAUGAAAUUUGUGACAUGGUGUGAAAUAGUUUUAAAAUAUAUUAUAAACUGAAAAUACAUGGUGUAAAUUAAUUGAAAAUUUAUUGCAUGCUGUCACUUUAAUUAUUUCGAAAUUUUGUUUUUUUGGAAUACAUAUGUAAUAUUUGAAAUUGGUGUUUGUGAACUGUCACAAAAUUAUUUUAAAAUUCAAAUGUGUGUGGAAUAAUUUGAAAUGUUUGUUGAAUACGCUGAAAACUAUUUGAUGUAUUUAAAAUUCAUUUGAAAUACAUGUUUCUAAAAAGACACGGGAAUUAUUGUUUUCAAUUUUUUUAAAUAUCACUGUUUUUUUAGUUGACCAAGAGUUUUGGUUGAUUAUAGAGUUACGAAAAUACCUGAAACUAUCAGCUUCAUUUUGUGAAAUGAAAUUGGGAGCUUUGCACCUCAACUAAAAAGAGCACCUUGUUACAGUGCAUGUACCAAGUCCUUUCUUUGAAGUAAUGCCAAAAAUACAAAAGACAAUACAUUGUAGCAAUGGAUGUCAAAAUAUAUAUUUUACAGAAAAUGUUUUCUGAAAGAACUCCAAAAUACAUGAAACUAUGAAAAGUGAAAUAAUAAUUAAUAGUUUUUGAAUGGUAUGUAUUAAAGUUUCUCAUACGAUGUGAAAUAGUUAUUCCUGUAUGGAAUAAUUUAAGUUGUUGUGAAAUGUGGGUGGAAAAUUAUUGAAAUUAACAAAAUUGUGGCUGAAACAGUUGAAACCUAUGCAUAUGAAGGAUCGUUGAAAUUAUUUCAAAAAAUUGAAUUUUAGUAAAUCUUUUAAAAUUUGAAUUUCUUGAAAUGCCAUAAAUUAGGUCAAAUUUUGAAAUAUGUAUUGAAUAAUUUCAAAUGUUUGUUGAUUUGGGUCUCAAAUGCAUGACAUAUCAUAAACUCAUUUAAGAGAUGUCAGAAAUAUUUGAUUCUAAAAUGACACUAAUUUUUUUUUGAAAUAUUUGAUUCUAGAAAGACACUAAAUUUAUUUAUUGCAAAUUUUUUUAAAUAUUACCGCUUUUAAAAAGAAAUCGAACCAACGAAAACCAGAAAAAAAAUCUCAAGUUAUUUUAAAAACCUAGAUCUAUUUAUAUAGACUUUUUAAAAUCUUGAUGUUAUUUUUUUUUUCAAAAUACUCAAAAAUCUUGUUUACUUUUUUUGUGUACGAAUAGGUUUUUUUUACAAAAGAGAGAGUAAUUUCCAGUAUACUUCAAGGGGUGUGAUAUGCGUGCGACGGCUGAUAUUUUUAAAAGAUUAGGCAACUCGCGUGGCCUCUGGCGCAUCGGCGCCCCUCCAUCAUUGCAACAUAGGUCUUCUUGCAGAAAUUUCUACAACAGAGGUCUUGGUGCAUGAUAUUUUUGCAACUGAGAUCUUGUUACAAUUUUUUUGUUGCAACAAAGCCUUUGUUGUUGUAUUUAAUUUUUCGUGUUCACCUUUUUACAACUUAACUAAUGUUGUGGGAGAAACUUGUACAACAUCAGUUGCAAUAACAAAAACAAAAAUCAUCAGGAGCCAGGGGCAUGUCAUGCGGGAGACGUGUUGUGCGAGUGAGGCGGCGGAUGGGAGCCAAGAAAUCAUCCGGUGAGGGGAAUCAUUUCACAUACCUUAAAGGCCAUACACAUGGCAGCUAGAGAUUGGCCCGAGUUAUUGGAGUUUCUGAUAGUUGUACCACAGAAAGAAAAGAAUUUGGUUAUCCAAAAUGAAGUCACUUUGAACAGUAUCAUAGGACACGGCCGGGCAGCCAGCUUUUCCCUCCAAUCGGGCGCUCGGUGACCACCACUUGCUUCUCACCUCGUCUCCCUUCCACUCACUCCGUCGCCUCCUCUCAUCCCAAAUACCACCACCCAAUCCACUCCCACACCGCACGUCCGCACUCCACCCCCACCCUCCCUCACCAUGGCCGCCCAGCUCACAGCCGCUCUACCAUCCUACUCCCCGGCCGCCACCAAGGCCGCCGGCGGCUCGUCGGCGUCCUGCACCGCCAGCCACUUCCUGGCCUACCCGACCCGCCGGCUCCGCAAUGGCGUGCGCGCGCAGGUGUCCACGACCGAGCCGACCGCGGAGCCGGCCCCCGCGGCGCCGGCCAAGCCGGCGAAGAUCUCCAAGAAGCAGGACGAGGGGGUGGUGACCAACAAGUACCGCCCCAAGGAGCCCUACGUGGGGCGGUGCCUGCUCAACACCCGGCUCACCGGCGACAACGCGCCGGGGGAGACCUGGCACAUGGUGUUCAGCACCGAGGGGGAGGUGCCGUACCGGGAGGGGCAGUCCAUCGGCGUGAUCGCCGACGGCGAGGACAAGAACGGGAAGCCGCACAAGCUGCGGCUCUACUCCAUCGCCAGCAGCGCGCUGGGGGACUUCGGGGACUCCAAGACCGUGUCGCUCUGCGUCAAGCGCCUCGUCUACACCAACGACGCCGGGGAGGUCGUCAAGGGCGUCUGCUCCAACUUCCUCUGUCAGUAACAUAUAUCUCUUUUCAUAUUCGUUCAUCGAUGAAUCAAUCAAUCGCCGAAGAUUGAUCGGAGAUUGAAACGAAACGCAUUGAUGAUGACGCCGAGAUGCUAUUUUGAUGUCUCUGUUCUUGUCUGCUGAGCUGCUAUUUUGAUGUGCAGGUGACCUGAAGCCGGGUUCAGAAGUGAAGAUCACUGGGCCGGUGGGCAAGGAGAUGCUCAUGCCCAAGGACCCCAACGCAACCAUCAUCAUGGUACUGCACAGUCACUAAUUCUCGCUUCAAAUGAAUGGAAUGGAUAACCACCACUUGCAUCCAUCCAUGUCCAUCCAUGAUCUAUCCAUAGUCAUAGGCUGAUAAGCUCAUGAACAACUUGCUGACAUAUGCAUCCAUAAUCGCAGCUCGCGACGGGUACGGGUAUCGCGCCGUUCCGCUCCUUCCUCUGGAAGAUGUUCUUCGAGGAGCACGAGGACUACAAGGUCAGUAACUUUACAUGGAUCAACCACCACACAAGUAAACAACAGUAAUCGAAUUCCAACUAUGCAUGCACAAAAUCUAUGGCACCGAAGCCAGUCAAUGUUUAAUUACCAAUGAAACACAACAGAAUAUCAGAGUUAAAUGUUGAUCUACAAACAUUGGUGUGCAGUUCAAUGGCCUGGCAUGGCUCUUCCUGGGAGUCCCCACAAGUGACACUCUGCUCUACAAGGAGGUACGAAAUUCAGUGUGGCUAGCUAGUAAAAGUACUGUUGGUAAGUUCAGACUUCAGACGGUGAUGCAUCUGCCUGACAUGGAACAUGGAAACUUCGCAUGUUUUCAGGAGUUUGAGAAGAUGGUGGAGAUCGGCGGGGAGAACUUCCGGCUGGACUUCGCGGUGAGCCGGGAGCAGACGAACGCGGCGGGGGAGAAGAUGUACAUCCAGACGCGGAUGGCCGAGUACAAGGAGGAGCUCUGGGAGCUGCUCAAGAAGGACAACACCUACGUCUACAUGUGCGGGCUCAAGGGCAUGGAGAAGGGCAUCGACGACAUCAUGGUCGACCUCGCCGCCAAGGACGGUAUGCCCCAACAAUUCACUCAUCCUGCUGUUUGAAGUUCGAAAAUGGUGGAUCCAUGGGAAAGCUUUCUGAUGAUGAGAUUAUGAAAUGUUUUCUAUUUGUUGUUGCUAGGGAUCGACUGGAUCGACUACAAGAAGCAGCUCAAGAAGGCCGAGCAGUGGAACGUCGAAGUCUACUGAUCAUCAUCAUCGUGGCAUUACCAUGGAAGGACUUGCAUGCAUAUGCUAAUGUUUCUCCCACCUAGUUUUCGUUUUCACUCCAGUUUGGUUGUGCAAAAGCUCAAGCUUCGGCCAUAUAUACGCCUUGUAUGUAGCGAUGAGUGAGUGGCACGGUGAGCAUCAAAUGAAAAACCAAUCGUUGGAUCCUCUGGUCGACCGACCAAUGUAGAUAUUGACACACAUUUGUCCCGAGCUCACUCGAUCGUCUUCUCGUCUCUAUACACUAUUUGCAGCUGUUUUUAUGCAGUGUAUUAUUAUUACAGUUUUUUAAUGCUUGAUGUUGGAAAAUAAUUGUUUUUAGUGGACUAUUUGAAAAUAAUUGAUU